rnacentral:snRNA from 1 species
AGGGUAAGAAUGUCAAAACAUCA